GCUAACGUAGCUUAAUUAAAGCGUGACACUGAAGAUGUUAAGAUGGGCCCUAGAAAGCUCUGUAAGCA
rnacentral:tRNA from 1 species